rnacentral:rRNA from 1 species
AGCGAACGCUGGCGGCAGGCCUAGCACAUGCAAGUCGAACGAACUCUUCGGAGUUAGUGGCGGACGGGUGAGUAACACGUGGGAACGUGCCUUUUGGUUCGGAAUAACUCAGGGAAACUUGUGCUAAUACCGAAUGUGCCCUUCGGGGGAAAGAUUUAUCGCCAUUAGAGCGGCCCGCGUCUGAUUAGCUAGUUGGUGAGGUAACGGCUCACCAAGGCGACGAUCAGUAGCUGGUCUGAGGGGAUGACCAGCCACACUGGGACUGAGACACGGCCCAGACUCCUACGGGAGGCAGCAGUGGGGAAUCUUGCGCAAUGGGCGAAAGCCUGACGCAGCCAUGCCGCGUGAAUGAUGAAGGUCUUAGGAUUGUAAAAUUCUUUCACCGGGGACGAUAAUGACGGUACCCGGAGAAGAAGCCCCGGCUAACUUCGUG